UAGUAACGUAUUUAUUUACCCUUAAGACCUAUAUUGUUUUUAUAAUCCUAAGGCUGAUGUGAAAGAGGAGAAAAACCUGUUUUUUGUUUGUUUUCUAAAUGAUCACUAGGUACACUAGAGAGGAUUAUCCUUCAACAAAUAUGCCACAGAGUUGAAGGAGGUGAUCAGGAAUCCCUUAGAGUCUUAGAAGCUCUCACAAUGUGACUGAUUCCAUAUGUUUAAUGAAGCUCUUAAAAAUCCAGACAUCCAACAAGAGACCAAUAGGAUACACUGAUGUUUUAUGAAUGGGGCCAGGACCAGCCUGAGUGUGGAGCCUCGUGGGCUGAGUUUCCCCGGGAUUCAGAGCCCUGAGGUUGAGUUUUCUACUGGUCAGCUGGAUCAGUUCAGCUGCUAUAAAGAGACAGUGCCCGGCCACCCAUACAGCAUUCCAUUGUGGCAGACAAUGGACUGGUGAAAUGCAACGUAGACAGUCUGAGGACCCUGUGCAAUGGAAACUCCAAUUGAAAUUGUACAUAGUCACUAACAUUCUACCUAUUCAAGGGGGCUGAAGACAGAGUCUAAGAAAAAGCUCUGAAGCCAGAGCACUGUUGCAGCCUCGGCCUCAUUUUCCAACAGAAGUCUUUCAUAUAAUCAGAGGGCUAGAAAAGAAACAGAAAUACAUAUGCCGGCUGCUACAUUUUACAGAAGAGGAAAUGGAGGCACCCAGAGAUAAAGCCACUUAUACAAAAUCAUGAUGGGGAAACUGAGACUCUGCGAGAUCAAAAGGACUAACGCAAGUGAUCCUAAAAUCUAGUGGCAGACAUGAGGCUAAUGAAGACUCUGUUCCUGAUCUGCUGCUGCCUGAAACAGCUGCUUACAACAGCUCCUUCCUCGGGCCUGGAAACCAGAUGUGAGGACAUUUGGGAAAUGAUAAUCCACUUGAAAAGCUGACCAGUGGCCAGGCCUUCUUUGCAUGUUUCUGAAGAGCCCAGAUAGUCAUUGCCUUCCUCAAGGACAGACAACAUAGUCUGCCUAGCCCACCGAGCUGCCAGGAGAAGCCAAGUGUCAGAGGCUUUAGUCCCUGGCGUGGCUCCUCCACUCCAGAGAGGAGCUGAAGGCAAUUCUCUCGGUGCCCCGUAGCAGCAGAGAAAUCUUUCUCCAGCCCUCGUGUACAUCCUUGGGACAGAAACACACAGCCAUUCUCCCUGCUCACAGCCAGGCCCCGUCAGCAUAGAGAAGCACUUAGGGUUCCUUUGUGGGGUGCAAAUCCAAACAUGCAGUGAUUUAAUUUUUCUAACAACAGCAUUUCUAGUCUUCCCACAGCACUAAUCAGUUGCCACUAGAGCAUCUCUUGCUUCCAAACAUUUCCCUUUUUUUUUGCUUCUGGGAAAGCCCACAGUUCAGGACCCUUAUCCACUUGGAUGGCAAUUCCAUUCUUUGGCUUCUCUGGGGUAGAUCAGACUUAAAAAAAAAACGAAAGCAAAAAAAUCAAGCUUCCUUACCUAUACCUAUCUCUUCACAAAUUCCUGUAUCAUGUUUGAUUUAUUUAUCAGCCAUGAGUGGAUCCCACACUGCAGGACCCUAGGCAGUAAUGGAUCACCAGAGGGAAGAGAUACCCUUUGCAGGCCACUCCUGACUUUUCUCUGCAGCUAGUGGCCUUGGGUCAGAGUCAUUUUCCUCUCAGCAGGGCAGGUAUCUCACUUGUAAAAGCUGAAGAAUAGAAAUGUUGGGGCCAUAGUGAUAGUCAUCAGUUGGUCUACUGUGCAGUUUCAGGGUGAGGGUGGCAGCCACAUUAACUACGAAGUCAGUGGCCUCUGGAACUGUGUAAUACACACCUGCACACCCAUGCAAAAUGGCCCACUUGGUACCAGAACUCUAAAUGCGAAGUUUUCCCAAGAGUUUGCACUGUGGCCAAGGAAACCCAGGAUCCUGACUGGCCUGGCUUUUGGAAUAAUCGUCAAGAACCAGGGCUAUGGGUCAGAGACUUUGAGUUUGAAUUGCAGCUCUGCCACUUCCCAGCAGUGAGGCCGUGAACAAGUUAAAUUUAGUAAGUGCUCAAUAAAUCUUUGCUAAUUCAUCAUUAUUAUUCCUACUGCUACAGUGAUCCUGUCUUAACCAGAGGCUGGCCCACCUGUGUGGCUCUGGUUCUCCCUCUGGCUGAAUUGCACACUUCUGCACUUGGUCUUAGCCAAGAGGCCAAGAAGCAACUACCAUUGCACACUUCUGGCCCUGAGGUGCAUCUCUAGGUUUUAGGGCCCUUUCCAACUCACCUUGUCCUUGGUUAUCUGACACAGGAAAUCUGAAUUCCUCCUCCUAAGCCUCAUCACCCACCUUUUCCAUAGCUGCCUAAUGUCUUUUCAUGGAAAAGUGUUUUGGCAGCAAUUUGAAUGAUGAACUAGCCAUUGAGUAUUCACGAAUAAAUGAAGCAAAUCCAAAAUAUCUUGCAAUGAACACAUUCAUUGCAGCAAUUGACCAAGCUGUCUGAGUCUUAAAAUGAAUCCAAGGUCUCCUGGAGAUAUUUUUUGCUUGUCUUUUGGUGAGAUUUGCAGACAGAGCCUACUCCAAAUAUUUCUGAGUCUGUUGUUUAGUGCUAUUUUGAGUGCUUUCACAUGUGGAAUUUAUUCCUAUACUUAGCUCUUACCCAGCACCCUGGGGUACUUGAAAAUGUUUUCAAUUGACCAACUGUAGUGUAUUAACAAAACCUUGCAUGUGCUUUGCAAAGCACUUAAAUCCAGCUGACUUCCUAUCUCAGCCUCCUUUUCCGGCAUAAUCUCCAGCCCAAGCUGUGCUGACCACACCUUUUGCAAAACUUUGACCAAAGAAUGUGCCCAGCUGAGGAUUGCCAGAUCCCACAGACAGCAUCAGGUCCCUAUUAUUGAGUGAGCCACAGAAAUAAAAUGCCAUUGAUGCCAGAAAGUGGGCUCUCAGAAAAAUUUCAAUUGGAGAAAUACAACAGAAACAUACACAAUUAGGAGCAUUGCCCAGUGUCUGGGCAAUGUAGAAUUUUUUACCCAAAGCUCUGUCCUUCUGUGUAGAUAAAGGAUAUCGCUUGUCAAACAACACAGUGGCAAUGUUCUGACUUUCUUAUGCUUAAGCAUGAACAAAAAACCUGGAGCUCAUACCUCCACUCACCUUUCUUUUCUAAUUGAUCAAACUAAGCAUUCUGACUCAGCGUUGUCCCGUGUCUAGGAAAAGAGAAACAGUUACCCACCCGGGAAACAGCGAAAGAGUGGUGCCUUGUAGUAAGGCUCUUUAUAUAACAAGAACGCAAUCUGAAACUCCUAAGCCCUAGAAGAUUUAGCCCAAAUUAAGGACCUUGUUAGCAGCUGAUUCCCAAGCCCUUCCUCUCCUUUCAUUUCUUUUGUCGACUUGCAGCAAGCCACACAAAAGGAAUCUCUUUCUUCUUCUGCCCACAGAUUCCUUUCUCAAAAGCCAUUCUAAGAAAUAAUCCAAUUCUGUCUCAAAUAUAAGGGCUUUCAUUCUCAGUCCAUUAUACUGUUUAUCUUGGGAAUUUCUUUCCAGUUUUAGGUUUUUGUUUUUUUUUUUCUACCCAAAGUUAAGCACAUGGCUUGCACUGUGAGGAAGAUUGUACUAGUGGUAGGAAAUAGACCACCAUCUUGGUAUUGUGAUCAAGCCACAUGGGUUCUGGGCCCCGCGCUUUGUAAGCAUACUUGGCAGAGGAAAAUAUAUUUGUACUAAGAGGCAAAUUAUCCACAGUCAAAAUGACUAAUCAUUGUUUAACUUAAAUGUGAAAGAUAAUGGAGAGAGGAAUGUAGCAUUUGUAAGGAACUGAAAGACUGAAUAAUGUAUUAGCAGGUGAGGUGUGGGCCUGUGAGUAUGGACAUAUACCCAUGGUAUGUUUGUGUGUGGGGUUUAUGUAAAACAUAGAAAGACAUAUCUACUUCUGCAAAAAUAAAUCAAGAAAAUAUGCUAUCUACUGCUACACUAGCAUCACUACAGCACCACUAUUAGCUGCUUUAACAAACAACCCAGGCAAGCUCAGUUUUUCUUAAUUCCUUUAAAAAUGUUUUAUAUAUUUGAAAUAUCAUAUAAUGGUAUUUUGCUGACAAAUCAUAGAAUCAAAUGGCAAAAUUUUUAAACACAGAUAAAAAAUUAAAACCAUGGUGCAACACAUAACACUAUAAAAUCUCUACUUCUGACUACUUCACAAUUUAAAGUGGUGGUUUGUUAUGCGAAUAAAACCUAUUUUGAAUUUGCCCUAUGAAAAAUGACACAGAGAUCAAUAGUAAACUUUUUGGUGCUUCAAAUGGGCUCAAAUACAUCUUGUUAGAAUGGAGAAUAUCUUAGCAUGGCUGAUAACACAAAGGCAAAUGAUCCAGUAGUGUAGAGAAGGAAAAUUGAAAGAGAUUUUAAAUUUGCUCAUUCUGGUCUAGGGGAGGAAUAUUUGCCUGCUAAUUUGCUCAAGGGCUGACAUUCAUGGAGCAAAUUUUUCAUCUUCGUGUUUCCAUCUUAGGGAAUUAUUCUGGAGACUUCAUAUGCCUC
rnacentral:lncRNA from 1 species